GUGGAGCAAUCCAUGAGUACAGUGGCGUACGGGUGAGUAACACGUGGGUAAUCUACCUCUUAGUGGGGAAUAACUUUGGGAAACCGAAGCUAAUACCGCAUAAGCUCGAGAGAGGAAAGCAGCAAUGCGCUGAGAGAGGAGCCCGCGGCCGAUUAGCUAGUUGGCAGGGUAAAAGCCUACCAAGGCAGAGAUCGGUAGCCGGCCUGAGAGGGCACACGGCCACACUGGCACUGAAACACGGGCCAGACUCCUACGGGAGGCAGCAGUGGGGAAUCUUGCACAAUGGGGGCAACCCUGAUGCAGCGACGCCGCGUGAGCGAUGAAGCCCUUCGGGGUGUAAAGCUCUUUCGUCAGGGAAGAUAGUGACGGUACCUGGAGAAGCAGCUGCGGCUAACUACGUGCCAGCAGCCGCGGUAAUACGUAGGCAGCGAGCGUUGUUCGGAGUUACUGGGCGUAAAGGGUGUGUAGGCGGUUGUUUAAGUUUGGUGUGAAAUCUCCCGGCUCAACUGGAAGGGUGCGCCGAAUACUGAGCGACUAGAGUGCGGGAGAGGAAAGUGGAAUUCCUGGUGUAGCGGUGAAAUGCGUAGAUAUCAGGAGGAACACCGGUGGUGUAGACGGCUUUCUGGACCGUAACUGACGCUGAGACACGAAAGCGUGGGUAGCAAACAGGAUUAGAUACCCUGGUAGUCCACGCCCUAAACGAUGCAUAUUUGGUGUGGGCAGUUCAUUCUGUCCGUGCCGGAGCUAACGCGUUAAAUAUGCCGCCUGGGGAGUACAGUCGCAAGGCUGAAACUCAAAGGAAUUGAC
rnacentral:rRNA from 1 species